UCUGAAUGAAUUGCAACCGCGAAAGGUUGCUGGCUUAUAGUAAAUUUGCGUUUGGUUUUAAAGUGUUUUAAAAUGAUAUAAAAAGUGUUAAAUUAGUAAUUAAAAAGUGAUCGCAGGACUGUGAUUUGUAAUUUGUUUAAGAUUAAUUGUGUUAAUAGUGAAUUUAGUGGAUUGCUGUGCGAAAAUGAAGGGGGUGCUCCGCUGGACAAGUGAAUGUAUAUAUGGAUGUAUGGAUGUGUAAGCGACGCCUUACAAAUGUGUAUGUAUGUAUGUUAAUGCAUGUGCAUGUGAAUUUGGCUGGCCCUAUUCAUAUGCAUACAUACAUAUAUAUAUACAUAUAUAUGUACAUACAUGGGAAUUCGCAAUCGUUACGUUUUGUAACAAAAAUCAAGGUAAAGAAGCCCAAUUUUAACUACUCCCAAUUAGAAUAUUGAAUAAUGAUGAAAAUUUAAGUAUGUAAGUGGCGAAAAAAUGGAUUUUUCUAUUUCUUUUGUGAGGUUUCCUUAGCCUUUUGCUUGGCUUGCCGAACGGCUAACAGUUAUUCUACCGCAAGUACUUUUUUGUUUGCUAAAUACAAAGACAGAUCGGCUGAGCAAGUGGAAAUGUGAGUAUGUAUUUUAUUUUUAAAAACUUUUAAAGACAUUUGAAUAAUUUUCACAGGAAAAUUUUAUGCAAAUCGGAAAUAAGAUGUUUUGUGUGGAAAAAGGAGGUGCAAAUAUGCAAUAAAUAACAAUAAAAACCUGGAAAUGUAAGGAAUGUGUUUUUAAUUUGUUUUUGGGGCCCACUGUGCCUGGUUAAGGCCACAAACCGAGUGGCCCAAUAUGCAUAGAUCUUACCAGAAACACUGCGCCCUCCCCCCUACGAUCCAUUGAGUCCAAGCCGUCGGAAUACUUUGCAUCCAAAAAUGUUUGUAGAUUACUGCCAUGGCUGUGAACAGCAUGAUGCCAUCAGCCGGGCCACAAACAUUGACCGCGACUUGGACUCCAACUUCAACUUCAAGCUCUAGCUCUAGCUCUGAAGUCGAGGCUUGAACUGUGACUGGGAAUGGGAAUCGGGGAUCGGGUGGAGUUA